rnacentral:tRNA from 1 species
GUGGUGGCUCAGAGGUAGAGCGCUCACCUUGCAUGUGUGAGGCACUGAGUUCGAUUCUCAGCACCACA